UACGGAGGGUGCGAGCGUUGUCCGGAAUUAUUGGGCGUAAAGGGCUCGCAGGCGGUUUGUCGCGUCGGGAGUGAAAACCAGGUGCUUAACACCUGGCUUGCUUUCGAUACGGGCAGACUAGAGGUAUGCAGGGGAGAACGGAAUUCCUGGUGUAGCGGUGAAAUGCGCAGAUAUCAGGAGGAACACCGGUGGCGAAGGCGGUUCUCUGGGCAUUACCUGACGCUGAGGAGCGAAAGUGUGGGGAGCGAACAGG
rnacentral:rRNA from 1 species